rnacentral:rRNA from 1 species
UACGGGGGGGGCAAGCGUUGUUCGGAAUUACUGGGCGUAAAGCGCGUGUAGGCGGCUAUGCAAGUCGGGCGUGAAAUCCCACGGCUCAACCGUGGAAGUGCACUCGAAACUGCGUAGCUAGAGUCUCGGAGAGGAAGGUGGAAUACUUGGUGUAGAGGUGAAAUUCGUAGAUAUCAAGUGGAACACCGGUGGCGAAGGCGGCCUUCUGGACGAUGACUGACGCUGAGAAGCGAAAGCAUGGGGAGCGAACAGG